AUUGAACGCUGGCGGCAUGCCUUACACAUGCAAGUCGAACGGCAGCACGGGUGCUUGCACCUGGUGGCGAGUGGCGAACGGGUGAGUAAUACAUCGGAACGUACCUUAUCGUGGGGGAUAACGCAGCGAAAGCUGUGCUAAUACCGCAUACGCCCUGAGGGGGAAAGCGGGGGAUCGCAAGACCUCGCGCGAUUAGAGCGGCCGAUGCCUGAUUAGCUUGUUGGAGGGGUAAAAGCCCACCAAGGCGACGGUCAGUAGCUGGUCUGAGAGGCAGAUCAGCCACACUGGGACUGAGACACGGCCCAGACUCCUACGGGAGGCGGCAGUGGGGAAUUUUGGACAAUGGGGGCAACCCUGAUCCAGCAAUGCCGCGUGAGUGAAGAAGGCCUUCGGGUUGUAAAGCUCUUUUGUCAGGGAAGAAACACCGGCUCUAACACAGUCCGGGAAUGACGGUACCUGAAGAAUAAGCACCGGCUAACUACGUGCCAGCCGCCGCGGUAA
rnacentral:rRNA from 1 species